rnacentral:rRNA from 1 species
UACGGAGGGUGCAAGCGUUAUCCGGAUUCACUGGGUUUAAAGGGUGCGUAGGUGGGUUGGUAAGUCAGUGGUGAAAUCUCCGUGCUUAACAUGGAAACUGCCAUUGAUACUACUGAUCUUGAAUUUUCAGGAGGUAAGCGGAAUAUGUCAUGUAGCGGUGAAAUGCUUAGAUAUGACAUAGAACACCAAUUGCGAAAGGCAGCUUACUACAGGAAUAUUGACACUGAUGCACGAAAGCGUGGGGAUCAAACAGG